rnacentral:rRNA from 1 species
UACGUAGGUGGCAAGCGUUGUCCGGAUUUACUAGGCGUAAAGGGCGUGCAGGCGGUCUGCUAAGUCUAGGGUGAAAGCUCCCGGCUCAACUGGGAGAGGUCCUUGGAUACUGGCGGACUUGAGGGAGGUAGAGGAGAGUGGAAUUCCCGGUGUAGUGGUGGAAUGCGUAGAGAUCCGGAAGAACACCGGUGGCGAAGGCGGUCUGCUGGGGUAAUGCUGACACUGAUGCGCGACAGCGUGGGGAGCAAACAGG